rnacentral:rRNA from 1 species
GAUGAACGCUGGCGGCGUGCCUAAUACAUGCAAGUCGAGCGAACAGACGAGGAGCUUGCUCCUCUGACGUUAUCGGCGGACGGGUGAGUAACACGUGGAUAACCUACCUAUAAGACUGGGAUAACUUCGGGAAACCGGAGCUAAUACCGGAUAAUAUAUUGAACCGCAUUGUUCAAUAGUGAAAGACGGUUUUGCUGUCACUUAUAGAUGGAUCCGCGCCGCAUUAGCUAGUUGGUAAGGUAACGGCUUACCAAGGCAACGAUGCGUAGCCGACCUGAGAGGGUGAUCGGCCACACUGGAACUGAGACACGGUCCAGACUCCUACGGGAGGCAGCAGUAGGGAAUCUUCCGCAAUGGGCGAAAGCCUGACGGAGCAACGCCGCGUGAGUGAUGAAGGUCUUCGGAUCGUAAAACUCUGUUAUUAGGGAAGAACAAAUGUGUAAGUAACUAUGCACGUCUUGACGGUACCUAAUCAGAAAGCCACGGCUAACUACGUG